rnacentral:rRNA from 1 species
UACGUAGGGGGCUAGCGUUGUCCGGAAUCAUUGGGCGUAAAGCGCGUGUAGGCGGUUCGGUAAGUCCGCUGUGAAAGUCGGGGGCUCAACCCUCGAAUGCCGGUGGAUACUGUCGGACUAGAGUACGGAAGAGGCGAGUGGAAUUCCCGGUGUAGCGGUGAAAUGCGCAGAGAUCGGGAGGAACACCCGUAGCGAAGGCGGCUCACUGGCCCGGUACUGACGCUGAGGUGCGAAAGCGUGGGGAGCAAACAGG